rnacentral:rRNA from 1 species
AUGGAAAGGACCAAGGACCGCAUCUGGCCUGUUACGGCCCCUGAUGCAUCAACGACAGCGUCCACUGAACAAGAGUCUGACGAGGAGGUGUCGGUUCCUGGAGACGGGGUUCAGUUAACUGAAGAAGGUUCAGAGAAGGAAACUGUCAAGCCCUGCCCUGACGCACCACCCGCGUGGUUCGGCCCAACCCCAAGGUCACCGGCCCGAACUGGAUGCGCUGAGCAUAAAGGCAAAGGUAGGGUUGUCUAUGAUGUUGCGAGUGGAGAUGAUAUAUGCAGUUCUGAAGACGACGGUGUUGUUUCUGAUCAUGGGGUGUUGUAUCCAGGGGAGUGA